rnacentral:ncRNA from 1 species
GCGAUGAAAGACGUGGUAGCCUGCGAAAAGCUUCGGGGAGUCGGCAAACAGACUUUGAUCCGGAGAUGUCUGAAUGGGGGAACCCAGCCAUCAUAAGAUGGUUAUCUUGUACUGAAUACAUAGGUGCAAGAGGCGAACCAGGGGAACUGAAACAUCUAAGUACCCUGAGGAAAAGAAAUCAACCCUGA